AUCCUGGCUCAGGACGAACGCUGGCGGCGUGCCUAAUACAUGCAAGUCGAGCGGACAGAUGGGAGCUUGCUCCCUGAUGUUAGCGGCGGACGGGUGAGUAACACGUGGGUAACCUGCCUGUAAGACUGGGAUAACUCCGGGAAACCGGGGCUAAUACCGGAUGGUUGUUUGAACCGCAUGGUUCAGACAUAAAAGGUGGCUUCGGCUACCACUUACAGAUGGACCCGCGGCGCAUUAGCUAGUUGGUGAGGUAACGGCUCACCAAGGCAACGAUGCGUAGCCGACCUGAGAGGGUGAUCGGCCACACUGGGACUGAGACACGGCCCAGACUCCUACGGGAGGCAGCAGUAGGGAAUCUUCCGCAAUGGACGAAAGUCUGACGGAGCAACGCCGCGUGAGUGAUGAAGGUUUUCGGAUCGUAAAGCUCUGUUGUUAGGGAAGAACAAGUGCCGUUCAAAUAGGGCGGCACCUUGACGGUACC
rnacentral:rRNA from 1 species